UACAGAGGUCCCAAGCGUUGUUCGGAUUCAUUGGGCGUAAAGGGUGCGUAGGCGGCGCGGUAAGUCGGGUGUGAAAUCUCGGGGCUUAACUCCGAAACUGCAUUCGAUACUGCCCGUGCUUGAGGACUGGAGAGGAGACUGGAAUUACGGUGUAGCGGUGAAAUGCGUAGAUAUCGUAAGGAAGACCAGUGGCGAAGGCGGGUCUCUGGACAGUUCCUGACGCUGAGGCGCGAAGGCGUGGGGGAGCGAACAGG
rnacentral:rRNA from 1 species